AACGAACGCUGGCGGCGGGCCUAACACAUGCAAGUCGAACGCCCCGCAAGGGGAGUGGCAGACAGGUGAGUAGCGCGUGGGAACCUUCCCAAAGGUGCGGAAUAGCUCAGGGAAACUUGGGGUAAUACCGCAUAAUGCCGAAAGGCCAAAGAUUUAUCGCCUUUGGAUGGGCCCGCGUCGGAUUAGCUAGUUGGUGAGGUAACGGCUCACCAAGGCGACGAUCCGUAGCUGGUUUGAGAGAAUGACCAGCCACACUGGGACUGAGACACGGCCCAGACUCCUACGGGAGGCAGCAGUGGGGAAUCUUGGACAAUGGGCGCAAGCCUGAUCCAGCCAUGCCGCGUGAGUGACGAAGGCCUUAGGGUUGUAAAGCUCUUUUGCCGGGGACGAUAAUGACGGUACCCGGAGAAUAAGUCCCGGCUAACUUCGUGCCAGCCGCCGCAGUAA
rnacentral:rRNA from 1 species